UACGUAGGCAGCAAGCGUUUGUUCGGAAUUACUGGGCGUAAAGAGUGUGUAGGCGGUGCUCUAAGUUUGGUGUGAAAUCUCCCGGCUCAACUGGGAGGGUGCGCCGAAAACUGGAAUGCUUGAACAUGGGGAGAGGAAAGCGGAAUUCCUGGUGUAGCGGUGAGAUGCGUAGAUAUCAGGAGGAACACCUGCGGUGUAGACGGCUUUCUGGACCAUUGUUGACGCUGAGACACGAAAGCGUGGGUAGCAAACAGG
rnacentral:rRNA from 1 species